rnacentral:rRNA from 1 species
GAUGAACGCUAGCUACAGGCUUAACACAUGCAAGUCGAGGGGAAACGGCAUUGAGUGCUUGCACUCUUUGGACGUCGACCGGCGCACGGGUGAGUAACGCGUAUCCAACCUUCCCAUUACUGUGGGAUAACCUGCCGAAAGGCAGACUAGUACCGCAUAGUCUUCGAUGACGGCAUCAGAUUUGAAGUAAAGAUUUAUCGGUAAUGGAUGGGGAUGCGUCUGAUUAGCUUGUUGGCGGGGUAACGGCCCACCAAGGCAACGAUCAGUAGGGGUUCUGAGAGGAAGGUCCCCCACAUUGGAACUGAGACACGGUCCAAACUCCUACGGGAGGCAGCAGUGAGGAAUAUUGGUCAAUGGACGGAAGUCUGAACCAGCCAAGUAGCGUGCAGGAUGACGGCCCUAUGGGUUGUAAACUGCUUUUGUAUGGGGAUAAAGUUAGGGACGUGUCCCUAUUUGCAGGUACCAUACGAAUAAGGACCGGCUAACUCCGUGC